rnacentral:rRNA from 1 species
GGGGGGGGGGGGGGGGGGGGGGGGGGGGGGGGGGGGGGGGGGAGGGGGGUGGGGGGUGGCGCUUGCGGGUGGCGGGUGGCGGGCGGGUGAGGGAUACGUCGGACUCUACUUUUUCGUGGGGGAUACCGUAGGGAAACUUACGCUAAUACCGCAUACGACCUACGGGUGAAAGCAGGGGAUCUUCGGACCUUGCGCGAUUGAAUGAGCCGAUGUCGGAUUAGCUAGUUGGCGGGGUAAAGGCCCACCAAGGCGACGAUCCGUAGCUGAUCUGAGAGGAUGAUCGGCCACACUGGAACUGAGACACGGUCCAGACUCCUACGGGAGGCAGCAGUGGGGAAUAUUGGACAAUGGGCGCAAGCCUGAUGCAGCCAUGCCGCGUGGGUGAAGAAGGCCUUCGGGUCGUAAAGCCCUUUUGUUGGGAAAGAAAAGCAGCAGGUUAAAACGCGGCUGUUCUGACGGUACCCAAAGAGAAAGCAACGGCUAACUUCGUG